AUUGAACGCUGGCGGCAGGCCUAACACAUGCAAGUCGAACGAGUGGCGGAAGGGUGAGUAAGGUCAGGGAAACUGCCCGAUGGAGGUGGGAAACUACCAGAAACGGUAACUAAUCACGCAUACCAUCGGAAAUGCGCAGAUGUGCGUAGCUAGUAGGUGGGGUAACGGCCCACCUAGGCGACGAUGCCUAGCUGGUCUGAGAGGAUGACCAGCCACACUGGAACUGAGACACGGUCCAGACUCCUACGGGAGGCAGCAGUGGGGAAUAUUGCACAAUGGGCGCAAGCCUGAUGCAGCCAUGCCGCGUGUAUGAAGAAGGCCUUCGGGUUGUAAAGUACUUUCAGCGAGUAGGCGUUACUCGCAGAAGAAGCACCGGCUAACUCCGUGCCAGCAGCCGCGGUAAUAC
rnacentral:rRNA from 1 species